UAUGAAACAUUAUGAAUAACAUUAUGAAACAGUUUAACCCUUUAACCGUCGGAUUCUUAAUUAACAGUGAAGUGAAAUGGAAUUCUGCAAUAAAAUGCCUAGCAACCAUAUACCAAUAGAAUGCCCAUACAACAAGGAAUAAAAUGGUGCAACAUGUGUUGCCAUAACAACCACGGUCACCUGUUUUUAUCAUUUUAAAUGCUCAGCCAGCGCUUGAUUUUCACAAUCAUAUGAAUGUAGAUAUUAUCAAUUUGAAGUACAAUACGUACAUGUAUUACUAUAUCGGUGAACGAUCUAUGAAAUUUACAAGCUCACAUAAAGACUGUUCAUUACUGCUAAUUCUAUUUUAUAUUCUAGCUAUACUAUACUACUUGCCAGAGUCACACAGUGAGCCCUCUCCUGGUCUUUCACCGUCCUGGUCUAGCGUCUAGGUCCAUGUCAUGCAUGUCCUCAGUCCCAGACAGUUCAUCAGCGUCUGGCAUAAAGCUGGUAGCCUUUGGUAGGUAUCCUACUAUCCACUGUCAUCACCAUAGGAGACAUCGCCAUUGCUGUCCUCAAGCUGUUCAAGCACAUCGGCACAAGUAAACAACCUAGCCAUAGCUAGAUGCUAAUGAAAUUUUAACAUAUAGCAACGUGGCUUGGAACUAAAUUGCACGUGAUUCUACAGCUCUUCCUGCUACUUCCUAAGUAUCGCAGAAUUAGAAUUUCGCAAAAAAGUCACUAUUGCGGGUCACUAUUGCGGGCCACGAUCGUGGCCGUGGUGGUUAAAGGGUUAAGAAACCACGAGCAGAGAACACCCAUCCCUUUAGCAAGAGACAAAUUGAUACACAUAUCACUCUUCCAAUGGACCUUCUUCCGUUUCAAACACACACAAAUCUCCUACACUCACCACGUCUGUGGUAGUGUGUUUGAUAAAAGAAGAAUAAGGCUGCUUGUUUAGGCUGUCUGAUGUUCACCUUCUUGAAAAAGCCAAACUACCAAACUGCUGUUGUUUUUCUAAUAAAUACGGACUUCACCUUGAUACUGCUGGAGUAGCAGCAUAAGUAUGUUUCUUGGGUCUUUAAAGGUACCAAGCAAUGAAUCAGCUGUUGACACUUUUAUCAGUCUUGGGAGGGACUGCUGUAUAUGGUUUAGUUUACAUUCUAACUCCCACAUUGGCUUUUGCUGCAACCCUCAUUGUUUUCUCUGACGCUAUCUUGACCUUUGACCUCAACAUACUGCAUUGUAUACUAACAUGACUGUGAUACUAACAUGACUGUGACUAACAACCACCUUCCGCAACCUGUUCCACGGUAUCUGGACGUCAGCCUUGAGAGAGCCUACGCUAAUAAUGUCUUCUGGAGUUGGUCAUGGUCAGCUAUCCUCUGUUGACCUGAUGUCUGAAGAUCGUUGCACAUCUGAAGCACCUCAUCACCAGCGCUCACUAUCUUUCUGACGGACUGGAGCUCGCUACUUCGCCGUCGCAGAGUUGAUGAGCUAGCUUUUCCACUGGGGACUCGUGGGGAGCUAUGUGGCUAUAAUUAUAAACAAUUAUUUUGCGUGUAAAUAAUUAUUAUGCUCACCUGUCCCCCUGUUGGAAUAUGUAGCUCUGCAAGCUGCGAGCUAUCAGCUUUGCCUGUAGCUUUCCCGAUCGGCUGAGCAAAUCGGUAGCAUACUUGUUUAUAAUUAGCACAUUUGCAAUUAUUCUUUAUGUGCUCUCUGUGGUUCUUGAGGUGACCCGUUGCAUACAGAGAUUGCAUGUCACUUCCAUACUGCCCAAAGCUCUCAAUGUGAUAACAGUACCAGGGGUAAUCGUGCUGUAGUGAUGUGAGGAGAAGCAGCAUGGGCAGGAAACACACCUCAGCCACUGACACAAGCAACCACACACAAGACUGUUGCACGUCGAUUGGAGCUGUAUUCUGUGCCGUUUUUUGGGGCUUUCUUACGACAGGGAUAGCAGUAUGUGGAUGGGUUUCAAUCCCAAAUAUCUCCUGCAGGUCUGUCUGGCUCUUCUUCGAUGAGUAUUGCUGCAGCCUUCCAGUUUUCUUCAGCUUUCCAAGUGGCCCUCCACACACUCGACACAGCUUUGACAGAGCUAAAAUAUGCUGUUCACAAUGGUCACCUUCACCUACAAUGUUCGUACUAUUAAGUGUAUGUUUUAUAGCUACUAGCAAUUAACUUGUGUCUACUCACCAGUUGCAGCUAUAUCUGUAGAGUAACACUUCCUCUUUCAAAUGGAACCUUCCAAACACCAAAGAACCUUUCAUGCAAUCAAGGUGGAGCUCACAAGAAAGCUACUCUAUCAUUGUGGUGAUGAUAGUGCAACCACAAAAUGGAUGCGCAAAACCCAGCUGUUCAUGAACAUGCUGUACCAUUACGCAGAUAAUUAAUUAGAUGUAGCUGUAAGUGUGAACCAGAUGUGAGUUAGAAAGAGAUUACAGUUUAUACUCAACGCAUAGCUGUAAGUGUGAACCAGAUGUGAGUUAGAAAGAAAUUACAGUUUAUACUCAACGCAUGCUAGCAGUGUGUUAGGUAACCAUGGUUAGAAGUAUGGCAUGCAAACAGCAAAUGAUGUUUGUAAAACACACCCAUUAUUUUAUUGCAGUUUAGUGUGUUCCAUGUGUUCCAAUUUAACACUAAGUGGCAUGUUUGAAACAGCGGUGCCAUAGGCUCGUCUUGCUUUAACAUGGUCAUUACUAGUUCUUCAUCAUUUGCUAUUGCAUUCUCUACCCAAUCAUCAAUAAUCUUGAUAUUUGCAUACAAUGGAUUGUUUGCUUUUAACAUCUCAGAGCAUUACUUAAUCUUUCUGGAUAGUUGCGCUUCAACUUCAAUGGUACUAGCUCACACUCAGAGGGCAGUUGAGAGGGCAGUAUUUCUUCAGACACCGAAAGCCGCGGUUAUGAUUUCAUACAUAGUACCGCCCACCGCGGAACCAAAAUCUAAUUAUCAGCUCCUAGCAAAGAAAGAUGCGUAGCUAAGAAGCAGUAGCAGUUUUCUGCAGGCAACUUUGUUGCAAACUAGUCUAGAAUAGCUACUCUGCCAGGAUCUCUAAGUUUCGAACGGAGGCCCCAGCGAAGGAUCAUUUCAUAGCGAUCAAGCCUUUUGAGCUGAUUAUUUUAAUAUGCUUGUCCACCUACCUAGAUAGCCUCUGAGUGAAAUAUACUAGCUUCGUGAGUUUAGAGCCUGUUUUUAGAGUGUAGUCUACAACGUUUGAUAUUCAAGCAUUCAACAUUCUUAGCAAAGUAGUCUACAGUAGUUACUGUGUCAGGAUCUCCUGGUUUCCAAGUCAACCAGCCAAGGGCCAGAGCAAGGGAUCACUUCAGAGGUAAGCUUUGUGUGCGUAGCAUUAUGUAGCUAGUAUAAGCCUUCAUAAGCCUCUGAGCUGAUUUAAUAUGCUUAUGCACUUGUGUGUAAAGUAUACUUGUGUAGAGCGAGUGUAGUGUACGGUGUUUGAUAUUCAAUUUAUUAAUUUUGUUUCAGUGUGGCAAAAAAAGGAGCCUAUACACAUAAUUAUGUCUAAGGUUGCAUGGUUCUUUUUUGUCACCCUUGUAUGAGAUGUACUGUAUGACUGUUCUCAGUAUACUUCUUUAGGUUUGUUGGCUUGUGAGUUAGUGCUGUGUUACUUACAAUUCAAUUAUAAUUAUGUAGCUGAAUGUUAUUAUUCAAUUUAGUGUGUGUAUUGAUUGAUUGCAUGAUAAUCUUUUGAUCUUUUAGGCACCACUUUAAAAUUCAAUUCUUUAUGGCUGGCUUGUUGGCUGGUGUUUGUCAGGUUCUGUGCUACUUGUGUGUAAGAACCAUUGAUUCUAGAGGUGAUCUGCUUGGUACUCUUUCUUCCUCAAUACUCUUUCUUCCUCAUGCAGGUCUGUGAAACAAUCAUCACUGCCAUGGUACCACCACCAUCUUAUGGGUCUGAGAAGUCCUAUUAAUAUUGAAUUUAUAUAAAUACAAAUUUCACUUUAAGCAAAAUAAUUUGCUAACCUAUGGUGAUCGGAUUCGGUAUGGCUUCUCGAGAGAAGCCUUGCAAAGAUGUGAAGCUCAGGAAGCUGGAGUAGAGUAAUGUGCGGUUGACGCAAAUAUGCGUCUAACAGCUUAUGGGUGCUCACAAUGAAAAAUCAACCUCACACAAACCAAAAAUUGACUCUACCUACACCACAUGACCACAUACCUGACUAACACUGUGCAAAAAGUUUUUGUUUUGGGUGUCUAGUUUUCGAGAAAAUAAUUAUUGUAACUUUCCAAAAUAGCUUUCUUUUAAUUAGAAAUAUGGGAAUUACGUAAUAAUUAUUAUGUCAUUAAAUUUUGAAUUUGGGCUGUUUUCAGCACUGGAGUGUUUUCAGCACUGGAGGCCCUACAGACAAGCAGGAAGGACCAGAUUGUGCAGUGAAGCUUACUGCUCCAUUGAGUUGCCUAAUUGAGUUGCCUAAUCCAGCAAAUAAUAAUUAUUGACAGCCCAGCCCGCCUCAGUUAAUUCUGAAGAACAGCCGAUUUUAUGGCUACCGAGUGCUACCCUACGUAUGGUGAACUCAUAGAUCUUUUGGAAAGAUGCCGCUUCCUUGCAAAAGGCAUUUCAUGAACAAUAUCCCGUAUCCAGAGCUGACCGAUUCUAUCACACCGUUAAUAGAAUUGCAGCACCCUGAAUUGCAGCACCCUGUAAAUCAGAGAAAGUGUCUUGUAACUUUAUUGAAGAGUACAGAUUGAGAAUAUGGAAGCCCCGGAUCCGAAACGGUAAACUGAUUAUAACAUUAGUAUAAAAUUAUACGGCAGUAUUAUGCAUAUAUAUUUUUUUACCCACCAUUAUUUCCUCAAACUCUAAAGUAGUGUGGUCUAACUGAAGAACUUUUGAUUGAAUUAAUCGGAAGUCAAGAAAUAUUAUGGCAAAUACCAAGUACAUGCUCAACAAGUACAUUUUAUUCCCAACUUCAUAAAUAUACUCGCCGAUGUUCAGUAAAAGUUGAAUAUACUCAAAGAUAGAUCAGUGAAAGAAAAUUUCGACCUGACAAUGCCUAUAGGUUUGUCGAUCGGUUUGUCGAUCGCUUGGUAUGUAAAUCUGUGCCUAAUGUAUCCAUCCUGUAAUACACCAUCAUCCUGAAGAGCAAUAUUCAACCUACAAUCAAGACUAGUUAAAAAAAAAGAUAUCACCGUACAUAAAUUGCAAGAAGCAGUAGGCACCACAGCAAUAAAGUUGGAGAAAUCUACUCAAAAAACUCAACUAACGUCAGGUACAGAAAUUACAAAAAGUAUUAGAUUCUGUAUUGUUAGAUUUUGUUGCUUUAGAAGAAAAAUUACAAACCGAAAAUGAAAGUCUGAAGUCAGCGAUUGUAGCUGUAAAGAAGGAACUGCAAACAGAAAAAGAUAGUAUUUUUGUUGAGACUAAAAGUGGAUCAAUAAGAAAACUAUAUUAUACUCUGCUAGCAAAUCAAGUCCCUGCUGCCCUGCCGCAAGAAUCAGAGAUAUUGUAUCAACAGUUUGAGAGUGUUUUUUCCUGGACUGUGAUAUCUCAAGCGUCAAGUUACCAAAGCACACGUAUUGUGUCAACAAAUCAAACGUGCAAAGCAGCCAUUCCAUUUGAAUUCUGAUGGUACAAAUUGCAAUGGUUUAGCUAUUAACGGACUUGUUCUCUCAAUCAAUGAAGUUUCUGAUGGAAGUGCUGAAACCAUACUUGAAGACAUUGGGAAAGAACUUGCCACGGGAAACAGCUCAUCAAUUAAAUUUAUCUAACGCAGAUUCCAUUAAUUGGACUCUAUUUGCUUCUUCAAGUUCUGAUAGUGCUUCAACGCAAAAAAAAUUAAUGGACUCCCAAAUGAUCGCAGAGAAAUCGAUGAAGAAAAGUACGGACCAUUUGAAAACAGUGGAAUUGAAAUAAUUAAGAAUUUUUGUGCGAUGCACCUUGGUGUAAAUCUAAGGAAAGGAAAGCCUUCAUAAAAACUGUUUCACCAUUAGAUACAGAAAGUUCGCAUCAAUAUGCUGCAGUGGAUAGCUUUGUACACGCAUUUGCCAAAGAAUUCGGAGCUCAUGGCACACCAGAAUAUUAUGGUGCUGGAGGUGUUAAGUUUCCAGAUUAUCUCGACAUCCGUUGUAAAGAUUCUGAAGACCAGUACUAUAUAAGGAAUGCAAAAAAAUAUGCUUACAAAGACAAGUCGGAAGCCCGCUAAUGCCAGCAAGGCAGCUAUUGAGUUUCUCCAAUUCAUUGGCAUCAGCAAAACCAAAUUGGAAAAAGAGUUGUUUGUACAAUUGCAAGACCCAACCAUACUAGCUUUGUUGAAAGCUGAUGCGUUGUUCGUUUAUGCUACCACAAGAAUUAAACAAAUCUGCAUACGAAAUGGGUCAACACUACCUUGAACUAAAAAUGUACCUUGAAGAAGUUGAGAAAUACCCAGAAGUGACACAAGAUAAAAACCAUCGUGUUUUCCCUUCAGAACAACGUUUAUAUCAUGAAUUGACUGCAAGUACCAGACCGCCAACCAACCCUGUUUGAGAAAGAUGGCUUUGAUGACAUCGUUCUUCAUCGGGUGCUACUGCCAUGAAGGAGAAGUUAGUUUUGUAUGCCAGUAGUCAACUCCCUGGUGGGGACCCUGAUCCAGACGUUAAAAGUGUACUGUCAAACAUUAAGCCAACUAAUGAUCUAUGCGAAUCGAUCCUUGGACUCAAUGACUAUCUAACUCCAAACAUGAAACAACUCACGAGAAGCACUAUGGUUACUGUGAAAAAAAACAAGACAAUGAAGUGGCUACAAAUCUUACCAGAGGCUGAGCAGGACAAUCUCACUCUGUUUGCGAUGCCUAUGGCGUAUAAAGAAGAGCAAAGUAAACUGGAAAACAAACGACAGGAGCUAAUGAUUCCAGCAAAAAGGUAGAGAGUUACUCGAAAAAGAAAGCAGCAGAGAAGAGGGAGGCAUUGUCUAAAAUGUAACUGUGGAAGAAUUGGAGCAAUUAUUUGUUGAUAUUGACAACUCUGAAGGCAGUGCUGCUAGUAAGAGUAAUAAAAAACUAGCUGUUCUUAUUACAGCCGUUGUCUGAACUAAUUAAAGAGGUUAAUUAAAGAGGUCAAAGAAAUUAUUGCUGCUAACCCUACUACUGAUUGUCACAAUGAAAAUGACACCUAUACAUAUGGAUCCAUUUUCACUAGUAGGAAGAGACGUGCUUCAUAGAUUUGUUGAUGAGUCUACCAGUAGUAGUGGCUCAGAACAAUGGUAUGAAGGAUUUAUUCUUAGCUACUAUAAAACUACACGAGAUCGCUUAUGUUGAAAAGAACACUUUAAUUUUAACUUAAUAGAUGACCUGGUAGCUGGGGAUUUAAAAUUUAAUGAUUAAGCCAUGCAUGCAUGCAUACUUUUUUGUCUGACUCACUAAUUAUUGCAACAUUAAAAUUAUUGGACACUUCAACAGCUGUAAUAACUCUGCGCAGUUAAGGCCUGGGUCAGGCACUGAUAAGAUUAAUUUUAUUCGUUGCCAACAUUUUAUGUAGAUCAUGUAGAUCGUGUAGUGUUAAUGAGAUUCAUAAUGUUUAUUAAUGUUAUUCAUUGCAUGU